rnacentral:rRNA from 1 species
CGUGCCAGCAGCCGCGGUAAUACGUAGGUGGCGAGCGUUGUCCGGAAUCAUUGGGCGUAAAGGGAGCGCAGGCGGGCAUGUAAGUCUUUCUUAAAAGUGCGGGGCUCAACCCCGUGAUGGGAAAGAAACUAUGUGUCUUGAGUAUCGGAGAGGAAAGUGGAAUUCCUAGUGUAGCGGUGAAAUGCGUAGAUAUUAGGAAGAACACCAGUGGCGAAGGCGACUUUCUGGACGAAAACUGACGCUGAGGCGCGAAAGCCAGGGGAGCGAACGGGAUUAGAUACCCCGGUAGUCCUGGCCGUAAACGAUGGGUACUAGGUGUAGGAGGUAUCGACCCCUUCUGUGCCGGAGUUAACGCAAUAAGUACCCCGCCUGGGGAGUACGACCGCAAGGUUGAAACUCAAAGGAAUUGACGGGGGCCCGCACAAGCGGUGGAGUAUGUGGUUUAAUUCGACGCAACGCGAAGAACCUUACCAGGUCUUGACAUUGAUGGACAGAACUAGAGAUAG